GACGAACGCUGGCGGCGCGCCUAACACAUGCAAGUCGAGCGAGAACCAGGGCUUCGGCCCUGGGGGACAGCGGCGAACGGGUGAGUAACACGUGGGUAACCUGCCCUCGGCACCGGGAUAGCCCGGGGAAACCCGGAUUAAUACCGGACAGCCUCAUGAGCUCUCGGGGCUCGUGAGAAAAGGUGGCUUCGGCUUCCGGCUGAGGAUGGGCCCGCGGCCGAUUAGCUUGUUGGUGAGGUAACGGCUCACCAAGGCGAUGAUCGGUAGCUGGUCUGAGAGGACGAUCAGCCACACUGGGACUGAGACACGGCCCAGACUCCUACGGGAGGCAGCAGGUGGGGAAUCUUGCGCAAUGGGCGAAAGCCUGACGCAGCGACGCCGCGUGGCGGGAAGAAGGCC
rnacentral:rRNA from 1 species